UACGAAGGGGGCUAGCGUUGUUCGGAAUUACUGGGCGUAAAGCGCACGUAGGCGGACUAUUAAGUCAGGGGUGAAAUCCCGGGGCUCAACCCCGGAACUGCCUUUGAUACUGGUAGUCUCGAGUCCGGAAGAGGUGAGUGGAAUUCCGAGUGUAGAGGUGAAAUUCGUAGAUAUUCGGAGGAACACCAGUGGCGAAGGCGGCUCACUGGUCCAUUACUGACGCUGAGGUGCGAAAGCGUGGGGAGCAAACAGG
rnacentral:rRNA from 1 species